ACCAUUAAUGAUGAUGAGGUUGUUGCUCAUAUGCUUAAUGGAUUAGAUUUUGAUUAUCAUCCGUUUGUGUCCUCUAUGAUGGGUCGUUCAGGAGAUCUCUCGCUCUCUGAACUUUAUUCCCUUCUGAUGGAAUAUGACC
rfam:Sorghum bicolor cultivar BTx623 chromosome 1, whole genome shotgun sequence.